rnacentral:rRNA from 1 species
GGUUAAGCGACUAAGCGUACACGGUGGAUGCCUAGGCAAUCAGAGGCGAUGAAGGACGUGCUAAUCUGCGAUAAGCGUCGGUAAGGUGAUAUGAACCGUUACAACCGACGAUUUCCGAAUGGGGAAACCCAGUGCAAUYCGUUGCACUAUCGUUUGAUGAAUACAUAGUCAAACGAAGCGAACCGGGGGAACUGAAACAUCUCAGUACCCCGAGGAAAAGAAAUCAACCGAGAUUCCCCUAGUAGCGGCGAGCGAACGGGGAGCAGCCCAGAGUCUUAAUCAGCAUUAGCAUCAGGAGAACGGUCUGGAAAGUCCGGCAGUAAAGGGUGAUAGCCCCGUAUCCGAAGGUGUUAGUGUUGUGAACUCGA